UUCCGCUGCCACAAUAUCUUCUAACAUCAAUUAUGUGCCCAUGCUUAAUGGGACUAAUUUCAAGGAAUGGAAAAGGCACUUGAUGAUAGUGCUUGGCUGUAUGGAAUUAGACCUUGCACUUAGGGCGGACCAACCCGCACCUCUCACUGCAGAUAGCGCCCCUGAAGAUAAAAGGGAUUUUGAGAGGUGGGACCGUUCUAACCGCAUGAGUCUAAUGAUCAUGAAACACAGCAUUCCGGAUGCCUUUAGGGGUCCAGAUUCUGAGGAGAUUACUAGUGCUAAAGAUUUCCUUGACGAAAUUGAACAACGUUUUGCGAAAAACGAUAAGGUUGAAAUGACGUCACUUCUAACUUCUUUGAUGUCUAUGAAGUAUAAGGGUCAAGGAAACGUAAGGGAGUACAUUAUGGAGAUGUUUCAUCUUGCUUCAAAACUCAAGGCACUUAAGAUUGAGCUUUCUGAAGAAUUGCUCGUUCUUAUGGUCUUAGUUUCGCUUCCACCACAGUUUAACUAAUUUAAAAUUAGUUACAACUGUCAAAAGGAGAAAUGGUUUCUAAACGAGCUCAUUUCUCAUUGUGUGCAAGAGGAAGAAAGGUUGAAGCGUGAUAAGACUGAAAGUGCUCACUAUACUAGUACCUCCAAAGAUAAGGGCAAGAAAAGAAAGUAUACGAAUGAAGCUGCUAAGGGUCCGACUCAAAAGACACAGCAACAAACUCAAAAAGCUUGUUUCUUUUGUAACAAGUCUGACCAUAUGAAGAAAGAAUGUCUCAAAUAUCGCGCUUGGCGUGCAAAGAAAGGGUUGUCUGAGCUGCCGAAAGCCGAGUGAUGAUGAAAGACACAUCUUUAUGGGCGAUGGAAAUUCGGUGGAAGUGGAAGCAAUUGGACAUUUUAGGUUGUUAUUAGAAACUGGUUUCUAUUUGGAUUUGAAAGACACAUUUGUUGUACCGUCUUUUAGACGGAAUUUGGUUUCUGUUUCUUUGUUGGACAAAUUUGGUUAUUGUUGUUCAUUUGGAAAC